UACGUAGGGUCCAAGCGUUAUCCGGAAUCACUGGGCGUAAAGAGUGCGUAGGCGGAUGUCUAAGUGCAAUGCGAAAUCCUGUGGCUCAACCAUAUGGACUGUAUUGCAUACUGGACAUCUUGAGGAUAUGAGAGGCAAGUGGAAUUACCGGUGUAGCAGUGAAAUGCGUAGAGAUCGGUAGGAACACCAAUGGCGAAGGCAGCUUGCUGGCAUAUUUCUGACGCUAAGGCACGAAAGCGUGGGGAGCGAACAGG
rnacentral:rRNA from 1 species